rnacentral:rRNA from 1 species
UACGAAGGGUGCAAGCGUUACUCGGAAUUACUGGGCGUAAAGCGUGCGUAGGCGGUUUGUUAAGUCUGAUGUGAAAGCCCUGGGCUCAACCUGGGAAUGGCAUUGGAUACUGGCAACCUAGAAUGUGGUAGAGGGUGGCGGAAUUCCCGGUGUAGCAGUGAAAUGCGUAGAUAUCGGGAGGAACACCGAUGGCGAAGGCAGCCCCCUGGGCCAAUACUGACGCUCAUGCACGAAAGCGUGGGUAGCAAACAGG